rnacentral:lncRNA from 10 species
GAGAGUCAACCACCUCAGGUUCCUGAAGCAUAACAAGAAUGGCAGUGGACAGUGAUGGGUACUCUGUAUUAGACACAGAGAAAGGGGCAACCUGAGAGAAAAAAGCCUUUGAUGGCCCAGCCUGCGUAAGGAAAAGUUAUGAAAAACUUUUAAAUGGAUCAAAAAGAUUACUGGGUAUUUUGAGCACAAAACUAGGCAUUGUUUAAUUGGGUACCACUCCAGGUUAUUUGCUUCUAUUGUGUUUGAGCCUUUCAUUGUCUUUGAGCUAUCUUAUAAGUCUAUAAAUUGUAAAAACAGUGAUGCAAAUGUUUUGUGCCCAUAAAUGUGCAAUUGAAUUCUUUCCUUUGAAGCAACAAAUGAUUUCUUGACCUUCCCCCGCUAGUGAAAAAUCUAAUUGUGUAUCUAGUCAUAAAUUUAUUUAACC